rnacentral:rRNA from 1 species
UACGUAGGGGGCAAGCGUUGUCCGGAAUCACUGGGCGUAAAGCGCGCGCAGGCGGUCAUCUACGUCUGGGGUGAAAGCCCGGAGCUCAACUCCGGGAUUGCCUUGGAUACGGGAUGACUUGAGGACCGGAGAGGCAAGGGGAAUUCCACGUGUAGCGGUGAAAUGCGUAGAGAUGUGGAGGAACACCUGUGGCGAAGGCGCCUUGCUGGCCGAUUUCUGACGCCGAGGCGCGAAAGCGUGGGGAGCAAACAGG